CGAACAGCCUGUGCGGUGCUGUGUGGGCGCAUCUCGGGUCAGAUUGGGCCCGGGAGUGCCGUACGCUGGUCAUUUGAAAAAAAAAAAAAAAAAUUAAAAAAAAAAAUAUAAAAAUCUAUCUCUGGGAGGAACUUGAGGGAGCGAGGUUCAACUCUUGAGAGCGCUCCCGCCUCGGCUGCUCGCAGCGCUUCGGGGCGGGGAGGCGGGGGGUGGGGGGGGGGGAACCGUGAACUUUCAUUUUCACGCCGCACACCCCAAAUCCGCCGCCCCCCCGCCCCCGUCCCAAAUUGUGACUGACCGUCAGGUACCUGGCGGUGGGGUCAGCGCUCCUGUGUCCCCCCCCCCCCGCAGGCGGGGAAGGCGAGGCGGAGGUGGCGAGCGGCUGAAGAGCCGCGGAGGGGGAAGGCGGGCGACCGUGCCGCCCGAAGCGCUAGCCUGCACUUGACUUUGUGACUGCUGAAGGAGCCCGUCCUGGGAGCCCUCCGCGGGCUGUGCGGACCCCUGCCUUCGCGGAGAGACCCGAGGCAUCGCUGCCAGCGGCUCCUCAGGAUUUUUGACUUCAGUGGGUUGAAAACAGCAAGCUUUUGGGCUCGAAAAGCUUAGACCAUCAUGGCUACGAAAACUACUGCUGCUGCUCAGAAAAUAUGUAAUUCUGGAGCUCCUUAGUGAAAAAGUAGUGCAAAGCAACAUCAGAGCAGUUGCCAAGUGAUAUUCUCCACAGCACCCAUGAACUUCAGCCUUGAACUGAAGAGGACUCAUCAAAUGCCUUAGGAGAGACAGCACGGAAUUGGAAGAGAAGCAGGGGUCUCCAUGAAGGGCAGUCAACUACAGUCUUGGUGUGUGGAGGAACAGGUUCUGUUCUCGCUGUUGCUACUCCCACAUACGCGGACUCUGUAACUGAUUAUGUGUGGGUAGGGCCCUAUUGAAAUUCAGGAGAUUCUGCAAUAGUGCAGGGUUCUUUUUGUGAAAGUUCAGUUGCAAGAUCAGGACUCUACUGUGACUCCUUACUGUGAAUUCUGUCAGUGUAUCAUUGAUUGUGCUGGAACCUGCCUUUUGGGAUAAUGUAAGUCCUGCUCUUCCCCCAAAUGUACUUUAGACAUGAAAUAAUCAUAAAACAUUUCUAAUUAGAAAAUUAGUAUCAUUUACAUGCAUUCUUUUAAUUAUGUUUUUUUGGCAGUACCAAAUAAUAUAUUCCUCAAAACUUCUUAAUGGCACUGAGGCUUUGUGGAUAGUUGGUCACAUGAUGAGAAAAUUCAGCUGUAAGUACAUUGAAAUGAUUGAAUUUUUCAAUAGUUAGUCUUUACUGAUGUUGACAAACUAAUAAUGAUAAAAAGGUGAAUCAAGAGGUUUGACUUAUGUCAGUUGACUUCAGUUCUUUUUAGAAAAUAUAUAAAAUAUAUCUAUUAAGGAUUUUGUUACUCUUGGGUAAUUCACCAUGUGAACCUGGAGUCCUUCCAUACUGGUGUUAGGCAGGGAGUUUUAAUUUAUUUGUUUUCUUUAUUUUCAGAAUAGUGUGUCUCUGACUUGCUCUGUAUUUUCACCCAUAAACUUUCUGAAAUUUAUAGAUCUAUAAAAACUGUUUAUACCACCAAUAUUUGUGUAGAUAUUGCACACUGAUUUACUAACAUAAUUGUCUUGCUGAGUUGAACAUUGAAAUGUUAAUAAAUAUACACUUGCACUUGUGUCAAUGUAACUUGGUUAAAUUAAACUAAACUGAGCUGGCAUUAUGAGUGAAUUUGAUGAUGCAUGCUGAUUAGCUAUAGUCUUAGGCAGGAACUACAUACUUUAUUGUACCUAAGUACUUUGUGCUUAAUCAAUAAUAAUUACCCAUAUCAUACGUCAGUGGAUUCACCCAAAAUAACUAUAAAUAUCUAUGCUUGGAUUAAGAAGGAAGCUCUUUUCCUGUAGCUAUGGGUACAGUCAUUGCUAUGAGUCCUAUUUUUAUAUACAAAUGAGCAAAAACUACACGUAGGUGUUUACCCUGUAUAACAAAAGGGGUAUUAUAAACUCCAUGCCCUUUUUUGUGAUGCCGUAUUUCCUUUCUGGUAUUCAAAUACAUGAGUGUUUUCAAUGGGGUCUUAGUAUCUGAAAAACGGAAGAACUGGAAAUGUUAUUGAAUUUGUGAAUAAUUAUUAAGGGGCUGUAAAGGUCUAGAAGAGUUGUAUGUAAGGACAAUUAGACAUUCUUUCCCAUGGAGCAAGGACACAGAUAAUAAUUGGUGAGUAAAGAUUAAGAAGGACAGGAUUUUUUUUUUUUUUUUUGCUUGGCACAAGAGCAGCAUGAAGUUUGAAGAAAGAGCAAGACCAAAGAAGAAAUCAUAAACUCAGAUCAAAAGCAUACUAGAGAGUCCAGAUAAAAAAAACCAAAAAACAAACAAACAAACAAAACCAAAACAAGGAAAACCAAAAACCAGAAAAUGGAUGGCAAAAAUAUGGCCAAAAGGAGAACUAAAUGCAUACCUACUGGUGUUUCUCAUUGCACUGAAUAUGUGAUAGAUUUAAGUUUAAAACUUUCAGUAAGUGUUUUUCUAUAAUUUUUUUUUUCUGCUGGAGAGGAGUAUAUGGGCUUUGAAGAAGACUCAGUGACUAGUUGUGAAUUACCUGUAUAAAUUGGAGAUUUGAGAUGACAGUUACAGCUAAGAACAGAGGACAAUGGGUUAUGUAUGCUAAACUAUGAUUAGUGCUAAGCAGAAGCCAUAAUUUCUUCUUCAAACAUGGGACUUAAUGAUUUUGAAAUGUAUCAUCUUCAACAGAGCUCAAAACAUAAUUUCAUUAUGUUCAUUACAGGAUGGGAACUUUCGAAGUUCUAGUUUAAAAACUUAACAGUGAUUCUUUUGAGAUUUUGCAAUAUAAAAUGAAAUUGAGAUUUUUCAAUAUGAAAUGAAAUCAAGAUUUGAGAACAUUGGCUGUUUCAUUCUGCAUUAAAAAAAAUCUCGAUCAGGAUAUUUUGUUUUUUAAAUGUUUAGACCUAAUGGUUUACUGUUUUCACCUUUUAAUCCUAUGGGCCAUAUUUAUUCUUACUUGCACUAAGUUGGGUAAAAGAACAAAAAGGAGAGGGAGAUUAAGGUGACUGCAAAAAAACCCCAAACACAGCCCUGUAGCUCUGCCCGCCCUGCCCCAAACCAGAUCAAAAGAAGUGCCUCAGAAUAGAUCUAGUUUCAGAGGAGAAAAGUGACAUGCUAGUGAGCAGGGUAUGAGGAAUCCCCUGGGUGUUUCAUAGGUAUCCACGUUUUUCACUCAUCACCACUGAGAGACAGAUCACGUAGGUGUGACUGCUCCUCCUUCCUGUGAUGGCAACUUCUCAGUACUUUUGAGGGAGAUAAUGUCAGGGCACAGCUCUGUCCUGCGUGCGGUAGCGCUGCUACAAAUACUGUUUGGAAGAAAAGGAACUCUGAAUUGUCUCCUGCUGUAACCAGCUCUCCACUACUCACUGCUGCUAACCCCCUUUGCUAAGCACCUGAUCUGAUUGCUUCUUUGGUUUAACCCAUGCCGUGAUGCCGUAAAUGACUGAAACUAGGAGAACAGCAAGAAAGCAGAUACCAACAGAAGGAGUUGAUGUUGUGGAAUGUAGGGAGUGGGCAUUUGCUACACAGCUACACAUUGCGUGGGCUUGGGAAUACUUCAGGAGCUGGAAUACCAAACUACAGCAACAGAAAGUAAGUUUCCUUUAGUGGCAAACUGAGGCGAUAGCCCUGGUUCUAUGCAUUAAGAAGGAAGAGCCAAGGAAUGUGCAUUGAACAUUCAGCAUGUUAGUAGUUGUAAGUUUAAGUUGUGAGAUCUUCUCUGCUGCUGUUUGCACUUGGCUUGUAUCGUGACUGUCCUGUCUUCAAGCUGGAUGUAGCAUGUUUUUGUUUAUGUUGAAUGAGGCACCCAUCAUAUUAUAAUGUCACGAACAUUGUUUUUCUUCAACCCUUGAAAGUCAAAACAUGGUAGCCUAGAUAGCUGUAAUAAGUUAGUAAUAAACGUGACAUGAAAGAAUUUUCUCAUUUCACAGUAUUUAUAGGAAAAACAAUGUUUUAUGUGUUUCAUAUACGUCCUCCCAUCUUAUUUUCCACUCCUAAGCAGAUCUAAUGCAUGAAAAUUUUCUUCAGUAGUGCCCUCAGUUCUUUAUUUCCAGUUACAACUAUUGGUCUUUUGUUGGUAGGUUUUUUUCAUAAUUAGGUUAGGGCCCUCACAAAACCUCUCUGCAUCCUCUAUGAAUGACACCAUCAUGCUGUCGUUUGUUUUAAGCCAUCAAAUCUAGGCUAAAUCUGAGUUUUGGGAAUCUUUUUCCAACCCCUUAAGGAUGGUCUGUCUUCUCUGUCAGACGAUAAUAUUUUUCAUCCAGGUUUUCCGUGGAUCAUGUCUUUAUUAGAAAGUCUUUUUCUUUUGCCCUGACAAAUGCAGUCUUGCCAUGCUUGUUAUCUAGUCAAAAAGUGCUACUCUGCUGUAAAUACCAGUUUCCAAACUUACUCCUUUGGUAUUUUCAAUUUCCUCCUUCAGUUUAAAGCAAUAAAGAUAAGCUAUCUGUCUUUAUUUUCAAGGCCCAUCAAGACUACUUCUACCUGAUACCUCUCCUUCAGUAUCAAGAGGUUGACUCUGGUUUUGAUCAACAUAUGAUGCCAGCUUCCGUCAUUCGGUUGUUAACUUUUUAGACCACAUUGGAUGUUUUCUCCUCAGCUGCCUCUCAUGUAUUGGUUGACUUCUUCAUAAACAGAACCGUUUACUAUCUUCCUUUAAGUAUCUUCUUACAAGUUUUAUGUACUGUGAAGCUUAAAACAAUCCAACUAGGCAACAGUUACAUUGCAGCUAUAUUAAUGCCAACGCCUAUCACAGUAGUACUGUUUCACUGUGUUUGUACUCUGCCAUAAUUUCUCUGUUGUCUCUUUAUGUAGAAUUCCAGCACAUCUACUUUCUGUUGUGUGUUUAUUCACGGCCCAGCAUAAUGAGAAAUGGUCCAGGGUGAGCACUCCCAAGAUUUAUGGUAAUUCAAAUAAAUGAUAAUGAAUACCCACUGGAUACUGCAGUGUAGCUGCUGGAUUCUGCUGUGCCUAAUGUCACAACAUAUUUAACGCAGAAAGAAGGUGCUCCAGCUAGAGGCCUCACAAAAGGGAAAGAAGAAGUGAGUUGCAGCCAACAGAUAAAAUGCUAGCCCCAGAGGCCUUCUCAACUGUCAAACCCAAGUCAAUAGCUACUGGCAUUGCGUCCUGAAAACAUCCCUCUCUUCCCUUCUCCACAGCAGUAAGAACAGACUCUCCCUUCUCAUAGAAGGAAGUAAACGCAAAUAUUACAAAGUUCUGCAGUGUGUGCAAAAGGUUAAAGGACUUUUUAUACUUCUGUAGUAUCCUUCUGCUCCUUAGUACAUUCCCUUCCUGGCACAGCAUCUCUUGGUACAGAAAUCUUGAAUAACCACAGGCAGUUGUUCCAGCCAUACCGUUGGUCAGUCCUUUUUCACAUCUGAUCUCUGUUGAGAAGGAACCUACACUAGUUUUGAUUUGGGAUCUCGGUACACUGCUAUCUUGUAGUGCUCCAUUUCCAUUGUGCCUUGAAGGUAAUGAUUCUUCAGAAGAGUGGUAAGCAUGAAUUCUAUCAGGAAUUCCCCAGGUAUGUCACCCUCUUUCUGGAAGUGUGUCUGUAUGUAUCUCUUUUCUUUCUUUCAAAGGGACACUGAAAUGUCAGAGUACAGAUUAUACAGAGCUGAUAGAAUGUUUAGUGCCUAGCUGAUACAGGGAUGGUAGACUGGACUAUGCAGACAAACGACGCUGUAUAUACCGAAGAAAAUAAAUAAGUUAAUUUUAUCAGAAUAAACCACAAAACGUAAUUACAAAUGGUUCUGUAUCUGAAUAGGAGAGGUCUAGUAGGAGCUCUGGACUAGUUGAUGGAACGGAGACAGUGGCUGUGAAAUACUGUGGGAGACUGGAGAGGCUAUACAACCCGAAAGCUUGAUUGUAAUAAGAGUUCUUGGUUGUCUAUAUAUAGACUGGAUAAACUUAACAGUAGGCCACAUUAGGCCACCAUGCACAGGCUGUAUUUUAGGUAUCAUCAAGAACUACUUUUUGAACAAACCAGCUGGAGAAUCCAGAAGAAGGGGGACAGCCCUUGAUUUAGUGUAGAUUACCACACAAGAAUUGACUAUAGAAGAGCCAUUCAGUAGCAAUAUCUGGUAUCAUACUCAAGUUUCUCGUACUUGUGGGAGAGAAAAAGAUAAAAAAAUGUCCAGUAUUGUUUAAAAAAGAAGAAUUGCAUGCAAAUGAAGAUACAGUUUAAAUAAAUCUUAAAAGAGACAGGGGGACUUUGCUUUCUGAUUCUAACCCAAUUGAAUAGGAAUUGUCCAACACAACUGAACAGUAAAAGAAGUUACUAGAAAUAAAUAGAGGUUUUUCAAAAAGUGAAAUCCAAACAAGCAAAGCAGAGAAGAGCACAAUUCUGGCAAGUUAAAUGUAGAUCUAUUGUAAGGCAGAACAAAAAGAUUUUGAAAUGCAACAGGCUAAAAUUCUAAAAGCCAAACCCCAUUUUUUUCAAGUGUAAAUUUUGCUAGUAGGGAGGUGAGUUCAAUAGAUAAUUGCAGAUAAAGAGAAUAUUUAAAGACAAAGCCAUUGCAGAAAGAAACAAACGAACUCUUUGCAUUGGCAAGGUUUAUUACGGGGAGAUUAGGGACAUCCCCGCAUAGAAGUUAUUCUUUAUAGGGAAUAUUUCAGGUUUGAAAUACCAAUGAAAGAUUUUCAUUCAGUAGUCCGAGGGAAAUUCAGAAAUGAAAUUGGUAAGCCAUGAACUGUGUUGUAUAAUCUAUCACUUAAAUUAGCCUUGAUAACAGAGGAAUGGAAAGUAAGAAGUGUGACACUCAUUUUAAAAAGGAUUCUAGGGAUGGUCAUGGACUAAUAAUUCUGACUACCAUGACGCACAAAAUGCCAGUGAAUAUGAUAAAGAACAUAAUUAAUAGGAACGUGGAUAGGUGUAGUAGGCAGCCAUCAUCUUGGCUUUUCUACCAGGUACGUCUUAGAGCUUUGCUAGUUAUUUGGAGGAGUCAACAGAUACACAGGAAAGGGUGACCCAAAAGUUUGAAAAAAGCUCCGUAACCAAAGACUGUUAACAAAAUGAAGUGUUGAGUUAUUUAAAAUUCUUUGUGGAUUAGUAAAGGGUUACAAGAUAAGGAACCGUAUAGCAACUAAUGGGCAGUUUUAACAGUGCCACCUCACAAAGAUUUGUACUGGCAUCUUUGCUGGUCCACCUGUUCCUAAGUGGUUUGAAAAAGUGCAGUGAUAAAGAUUGCAGAUGAUAGAAGGAAAAUACUCAGCUGGAGUCAGACCUAAUGUUGACCCUGAAGAGUUGCAGAAGGAUCUCACAGCAGGACCUGUGGUGAUCCAGGAGCCAUGGCUGUCACAGAGGCCAGAUACCGCUGACCCUGCUGUUCAACCGUAUCUAUCAGCAGAGAGAGGCAGUGGCUGUGGGGUUACAGCAGCCAUCACCCCGUAAGCUGUGAGCUCAGCGGGCUGUGGCCAGUCCUGCCGCUCAGGAAGGCAGGGACUUCUGGCCGUUCUUUCUAACCACAGCAGGAGCUGUGAAGAAGCUUAAGUUGAAGAGAAGAUUCUUCCUCCCUAUUUCUCAGGGUUUUACAGCCCCGAUGAGCUUAAAGUACAGGUUUUGGUCCUGGAGUUCCUGCCUGUCAUAGGGGUGGAAUAUCACUGUUAAACUGAUAGGUAGUAUCUUGCUGCUGUGAGAAGCCAGGGCUCUCAAGCCAUUUUACUGGUGUUUGCAUGGAUUUUUAGCAGCUCCUGCUAAUUUUCUAUAAUCAUUCUGGAUGGACUGGAUGCUAGGAAAAAGUGGCAAAAUGGUAUUUGAAACAGAGAAGUGGCACUGGCAUGCUGGUCAGUUUUGAGCAUUGGUGAGAACUGGGUAUGAUAUAGAAAAGGAUGACUAAGAGGUAUGGCAUAGCUCUUCUGCAGGGACAGUAAAUGGAUCAGGAUUCCUCAGUUUGGAAUAAUGUUGGCUGAGGACUAGGUAGUGUGAGAAAGGUCUCUAAAACCAUGAGUACAUAGAAGUGUUUAAUAGGGGACUACAGCUCCCUGUUUCUCAUAACAGAAGAACAAGGGGCCUUUGGUCACUGUUGUGUUUAAUUUAGGUGACCUUUAAGAUGGCAAAAUGCUGCUUAGCACCAGUUUUACCUGCCAUAGUUUUGUGGAUACAUCUUUUCAAGUGCACAAACCCCAACUGUUUACUGGUCUUGAAAACUCCACUUGUCCUGAACCAGCUGUGGCCAAAAUCCAACCUGUGCAGAAUUACGGCUUUUCUGUAAAUAAAAGUUUGUAGUCCUAAUAAUUGAUUAAUGAUAAAUUUUCAAACAUGAAUCAAAUGUAAACUGGUCUCAUUUUCCUAAAUCUGCAGAUAUUUUUUUCUCGUCUGCUCCUGUUUGUUCCUUUAUCUGGCAGUAGCAAUAUUAUGGAUGGGCAGAUCAGUUUUACUUCUGUUGUUUGCAAACCUGUGGUCAAUGGAGAAUGCCAGUUUGCUGCUACUUCAGUAGCGGGCCCUAAAAUUAAUCCCACGGGAAAUCAGAUAAAGAAGCAGAAAUAUCUCACCCAGCAACGAGAAGAUCUGGAGGGAGGGAUGGAGUAGAAGACAUCAUUGUACCUUUGAAACAGCUGGAAUGGUUUCCAAGCUGUGGUCCACAAACCUCUGGUGGACUACAAGGCUAUGCUACCAUCUCUUCUUCUGAAGCUUUUCACUUGCUACCUCUCUGACCAUCCUACCUUCCAUGUUGAGAGUAUUGUCCUAACUUCUGAUGUGGAAGAUUGCUGACCCUUUCCUUUGAUGCUGAUACCAGUAUUUUCUUUGAGAGAUAGUACUGUAGUGAAGACAGAAAAAGAAGAAUACGGCACUCAUGGAUUUUUUUAUGGUUUUUAAUAGUCAAGAAGUAUUGUUCUUCUGCCUUCAUAUAAAAUGUGCUGGUUUCCCAAUGUACUUGUAAUUUAAAGAUGUUUGUAGAAAUGUAAAAUCAAAUGUGAAAAACAUAAAAUCCAUAUUAAAGACAUUUAAAUUUAACAAAAUAUAGCAUUAGUCUUUAUUUUUUAAAUUGAGUCCUACAUGGCUCACUUGCAAAAAGUGGGAGAGAUUUAAAAAGUUGUAUACUGGUAAAGUCUGACUUCUUAAAAGGUGAAAUUAUUUUCUUCUCCCCUAUGGUAAUAUUUUCUUGAUUUAUACCUAUUAAAGAUCUCCCCUUCUCUUGAGUUCUCUGUCUUCUCCCUUUUUUUGUUCCUUUUGUUAACCUAAG